GCGAGACCGCCGGUGAUAAACCGGAGGAAGGUGUGGAUGACGUCAAGUCAUCAUGCCCCUUACAUCCUGGGCUACACACGUACUACAAUGCUACGGACAAAGGGCAGCAAGCUCGCGAGAGUUAGCAAAUCCCAUAAACCGUGGCUCAGUUCAGAUCGUAGGCUGCAAACUCGCCUACGUGAAGGAGGAAUCGCUAGUAAUCGCAGGUCAGCAUACUGCGGUGAAUACGUUCCCGGGCCUUGUACACACCGCCCGUCACACCAUGGAAGUUGGCCACGCCCGAAGUCGUUACUCCAACCUUGUGGAGGA
rnacentral:rRNA from 1 species